rnacentral:rRNA from 1 species
GACGCACGCUGGCGGCGUGCCUAAUACAUGCAAGUCGAACGCAGUGGGGACGGGUGAGUAACACGUGGGUAACCUCCCCAUCAUAGGGGAUAACACUUGGAAACAGGUGCUAAACCGAUACUGAUGGAUGAACCCGCGGUGCAUUAGCUAGUUGGUGAGGGAACGGCUCACCAAGGCCACGAUGCAUAGCCGACCGGAGGGGGUGAUCGCCAGCACUGGGACUGAGACACGGCCCAUACUCCUACGGGGGGCAGCAGUAGGGAAUCUUCGGCAAUGGACGAAAGUCUGACCGAGCAACGCCGCGUGAGUGAAGAGGGUUUUCGGAUCGUAAAACUCUGUUGUUAGAGAAGCGGUAUCUAACCAGAAAGCCACGGCUAACUACGUGCCAGCAGCCGCGGUAAUUC